AUCUCUAUCUGGUGAUUACUCCUCUUGGAGCCCUUCUGCGAGCCGAGGACAUGGGGCUUUGCAAUGCAGCAUAACAUCUCACUGUCCAGACUCAUGCCAGUCCGUGAGGGGCACCUUGUCCUCUCACAGAAUGGCCCAGGUUGGAAGGGACCUCAAGGAUCAAGAAUCUCCAAUCCCCCCACCACAGGCAGGGCCACCAACCUCCACAUUUAAUACUAGACCAGGCUGCCCAGGGCCCCAUCCAACCUGGCCUUGAACACCUCCAGGAAUGGGACAUCUACAACCUCUCUGGGCAGCCUGUUCCAGCACCUCACCACUCUCCUGGUGGUCAAGAGACUGGCAUGAGCUGAUGUCAGAGGAACAGUGUCAAGCAAGGAGUUUUAGUCUGAAAACAGCUAGAUGAGUAUCUUAAAUCUGAGGACAGCAGGGAACAGCACAAGUAGAGAGAAGACAAAAAGCAUCCCACUCUGCUAAAAAAUAGCUCAGGAGCUGCUGAUGACUGAGAACGGCUGGCACAGAGCAGUGCAGCCUGCUGGAAAGCUGAGCAGUGCCCCAGCGGGGUCCUCCUCUCACCAUUGAUUACAGAAAGAAAUUUGGGCUGCCAGGGUCCUAAUUUAGACCUCUCCUGCAAAUGUCUAGAACUGUCUGUGUUUUGGGGUGGAGUCUUGCUCUUUCUGAAUUUCUUCUGCUUUUCACAAUACAUUUCUAAUCUGAUUUGCUAAACUGUGAUUACUGUUGAAAGCAUAAUGAUAAUCAUAAUUCCUGCUGUUAUUUAAAAUAUACUGCAAACAAACCAAGGGCUACAGAUUCUCCUUCAUAGGAAGUAUGUGCUAUGAAAUAGUUUCCUGCAUAGAAGAAGGAAACCAAAUGUAUUUUUAAAAUAUUCUAGGUUAAAAAAAACACCAACAAAAUACGACAACAAAAAAAAUAACCCUUAUGCUGUAAGUAUGCUGAUGAGUUUUUGAUAACUACAGAAGCAAAAUAUUUGAACAUUAGUAGGAUAUUUUUAAUUUUUCUAUAUUGUAGAUUUUCAUUUUAAUAACAGAAUCCAUGCUGAAUGAAUGCCCUGCUACUAGGUCUUGGUUUUAUUCAUUAUUAGCUGCAUUUGUUGUUCUUUUAAGGUUUGAUUGUGCUUAGGUAUUUCUGCAUGCUAUCAGCCAGGAUAGACUCCUGCGUUCCUCUGGAGUCUAACCUGGUGAAAUCCUUUGCUUCCUUUCAGCUUGCUCAAAUUCCCUUAUCGUAUUUUUGUCUGGCAUUCCUGUUGUGAGCAAGUGCUUGGAUCAGCAGCCAGAUCUUGCCCUCAGCGCCUUCUCCGGUGGCCCCAGUGCUGUCACAUUUGGUUGUUCUCUUUUGCUGCUGCCCAUGAGUGCAGCCCUGGUGGGGUCAACUGGGAGCAUAUCCAAACCUGUUCCGGCUCAUUGCCCUCAAUACUGCUCGGCAGGAAGGAAUGGAGUAGGACAGCUGUUAGCUUCAUUGCAUUGCAGUAUUCCCCUGAACCAUCACAGCUCAUAAAACCUGCUUUCUUUUCUUGCCUUUUAACACAGAAGCUUAGCAUCAAAUUAGGCAGCUAAGGCCCAGAGUUCUUGUGGGCUUUUAGGGAAUGUUCACUUAAAUAUGUGUUCACUUCCAUAUAUAUAGGGAAGCUAAAUAUUAACAUAUGUGAAUGUGUUACAAGUUAUUGGAACACACGUAUUUGCAUUUUAGGAUAUUUGAACUAAUUAUACUUCAGAUGAAAUUAACUCCUUCCCUCAGAUGCAUUUACUUAGGAUUACUCUGGGCAAGGAAUUUUGCUAAAACUUCUUAAAAAAGUAAAUUUUAUUUCUGAUAGGUAAGGAUAUAUUUGAAUACAUCAAAACAAUCUAAUAGUGCAACAUGGAAACAAAUGUAUAUAUAAUAAAUGUACGGAAUAUUAUUUGAUCACCUAUAAUUCAAAUAUAGAAGUGUCUCUUGAAAUUCUUCCACUUUAAUUAUGAUUUUAAAAUUCUUCUGAUUAAAACAGUUGGCACAUGAC
ensembl:lncRNA